rnacentral:tRNA from 1 species
GGUUCCACAGUGUAGUGGUUAGCACGUCUGCUUCACACGCAGAAGGUCAUAGGCUCGUGCCCCAGUGGAGCCA